ACGCUUCCCCCAUUGGGCGGUGACCACUUUCACCCCGCCCGGGCUGCCUUCUAGCGCGCCCUCAUUGGAUGACGUUCAGGCUGGACCCACCCGCUCCUCCUCCCGCCUUCCCCACAUUCCCCCCCCACCCUGCGGCCCCAGAUCCUAGAGCUGGGGAAUGAGGCAACGGAGGCGAGGAGCAGCUUGGGCCCCACAUCAGCCGACACCUCCCCAACGCUCUUCUCCUCUCCUCUCUCCCCUCCCCCUUCCCGCCCAGUGCCACUUCGAACACGGAGCGAAGCGGCCGCGGCGCUACAAGAUCGGAGGGACUGGGUCUCGGCGGCCUGGGGGAGACAUCUGCUUCUGUGAGACAUUGGAAGUGGAAAGAGAGAGAGCCCCAAGAAAGGCACAGCCACAACAGGGCGACGACGAGGAGAGCCGCCAAAAGGGCCUCGCGUCCGCGGCAGCGAGAGCCUCCUCUUCCCCCGCUUGUUCCCCCGAGGGGCGCGGGGAUCCGGGACGGGAAGCAGCUCAGCUCACUGUCGCCCUGACGCCACGGCAGGGCUCUCGGCCUCGUCCCGGCAGCCAGGCCCUCUCUCGUGCCCCGGUGCCCUGUGGUGCGGAGCCGUGACUGACCUGGUCCGCGGGGCUGCUGCUACCGGGCGAAAAGGAUGGCAAGUACGCGGGAGGUCGUUGCCUUGGCACUGGCAGCCCCUAGGAAUAACCGAAGAGCAGGAUUCCUACUAUGUCACGCACUGCCCUGCCUUGCCUUGCCCAGGGUGCGAAGGCGACUCUGGGAGCAGUGUAUUCCGCUGUUAGAGAUGCCUUGAAGCUGUGGCGAUUGAGAGAAUGAUUUAACUCCAUGGGUGGGAUUGUGUCAACUGCUUGGUGUUGAGCCUGGAAAGCCUUGGGCCGCACAUAAUGGUGCCAGUGAUGUGGGAAAGUUUAGGAAAGAGGUUCUAGAGACUUGAUACAGGUUAUUCGGAGUGCCAACUUAGGGCUUCUACGGUUUCUUUAGACCCACUUUAGCAGGACCAGUCCUCGUGUCAACAAAGGGGCUGCCGUGUGAAGGCAAAACUCCCCUUCGGCAAGGCAAAGUUCCUACGAGUGACAGAAGAGAUUGCAGCAGUAGCACCCCUUUUUGGUGUGUUUUGAAACGAAAAAUUCACUAUCAUUUACUCCUGCCUAAAUCGCUACUAGGUAGCAAAGGUUCCGUGUUGCUAGUCCAGGCCCAUUACUACUAGACACAGUGCAGCCCUGUAACAUGACCCUAAAAGCCAAAGCAUUUCUCGUAUUUAUUAAAAAUAGUUACAUUUUUAUCAUAUGAGAAGAGCUAAUUAUUCUAGUCCACUCAAAAAAAUAACUAAACUGUUACAAGAUUGGUUUUCAAGAGCUACAGAUGUUUUACUUAGCCCCAAGAGUUUGCAAGGCAUUAUUUUUUUCAGUGAAAAGUUCAUUAUUCAAUAUUGUGAUAAAAUACUAUCAAUACAGCAUACAUCACAUGGAUUAGAGCCAUUCAGCUGCGCUACCUGAAUAACAAAUGGACAAUGAGAAGCAGCCAUCUACUGGGCAUCAAUGUUUGAACUGAUACUAUGCUAUUUUUAAAUAGAUCUGUGAAGUAAAUGACAA